rnacentral:rRNA from 1 species
UACGGAGGGUGCAAGCGUUAUCCGGAUUCACUGGGUUUAAAGGGUGCGUAGGUGGAUUGGUAAGUCAGUGGUGAAAUCUCCGGGCUUAACCCGGAAACUGCCAUUGAUACUAUCAGUCUUGAAUACCGUGGAGGUCAGUAGAAUAUGUCAUGUAGCGGUGAAAUGCUUAGAUAUGACAUAGAAUACCAAUUGCGAAGGCAGCUGGCUACACGAAUACUGACACUCAGGCACGAAAGCGUGGGGAUCAAACAGG